ACAACGGAGAGUUUGAUCCUGGCUCAGGACGAACGCUGGCGGCGUGCUUAACACAUGCAAGUCAAGGGGAAAGCAGUUUUCGGAUUGCGAGUACACUGGCGCACGGGUGAGUAAUAUGUAAGUAACCUACCCAUAGAUUUGGAAUAACGUCGAGAAAUUGUCGCUAAUACCAGAUUACAUAAUGACAUCGCAU
rnacentral:ncRNA from 1 species